rnacentral:rRNA from 1 species
GACGAACGCUGGCGGCGUGCUUAACACAUGCCAGUCGAACGGAAAGGCCCUGCUUUUGUGGGGUGCUCGAGUGGCGAACGGGUGAGUAACACGUGAGUAACCUGCCCUUGACUUUGGGAUAACUUCAGGAAACUGGGGCUAAUACCGGAUAGGAGCUCCUGCUGCAUGGUGGGGGUUGGAAAGUUUCGGCGGUUGGGGAUGGACUCGCGGCUUAUCAGCUUGAUGGUGGGGUAGUGGCUUACCAAGGCUUUGACGGGUAGCCGGCCUGAGAGGGUGACCGGCCACAUUGGGACUGAGAUACGGCCCAGACUCCUACGGGAGGCAGCAGUGGGGAAUAUUGCACAAUGGGCGGAAGCCUGAUGCAGCAACGCCGCGUGCGGGAUGACGGCCUUCGGGUUGUAAACCGCUUUCGCCUGUGACGAAGCGUGAGUGACGGUAAUGGGUAAAGAAGCACCGGCUAACUACGU